rnacentral:lncRNA from 1 species
AGUUUUAAUGACUCAUUUUUCACCCCUCUUGAGGAGUGCAUUGAAAGUAUAGGUUCUAAGGGUAUUGCUGCCCAGGAUACUCUCAUGACAUUUCCGUUGGUAAGUUCUCAAGUGGUGCAUAUUCAAGGUAAUAUUUAUGAAACACUUGGGAUAGGUAAGUCAAUUCCAUUUCUCCUAUCAUUACAUCAUGUGACUUUUGCUAUAAAGUCACCAUUUAAUGAUCCACCACGACCAAAAAUGGUGGAUUAUUCGUUAACUAAGCCUCCUUGAAAAAUGAGGUAGUCAAGCUAUUGACUUUAAAGAAGCGCUUAUUGGGAGGCAACCCAAUGUUUGUUUAAGUUUAUGUUAUUUUGGGGUGAUUUUAUGUUUAAAGUAUAUGUUUGAGUUAUUUUGUUAUUUUUCAUUUGUAGGUAUUGGAAAUGGAAGCAAAAGUGACCAAAUGAGGUUAAAAAGGCGAAUUUUGAUCAAGGAACUCAACCCCUCAAUUUGAGUAAUUGUUGUUUUUGAUUUGUUAGAAGGGGUUAAAAUGCAUAUUUUGAUCAUUUAACAUGUGCAUGUAUUGAGUAUUUUAACAAACAAAUGAUCUAUGAUGCAUUUUGAGUGAUUGGGGUAUCAUUUGUAAUUUUUCAAAGUUGGCUUUCUGCAAAAAUUUCGCAGAAGAAAACGUAUUUUGGCUGAAAACGCGCCUUAGAAUCGCGUUUUCCAUAAUCGCGUUUUCAAUUCUGCGCCUAUACUGAAGAAAACGCGCCUUAAAAACGCGACAGGAAGUCGCGUUUUCUACCAAGUCGCGUUUUAAAGCCUGAUCAAAAAUUUAAAACGCGACUUCAAAUACGCGACUCCAAGUCGCGUUUUAUAACACAGUCGCGUUUUAGAUCCUGCAAGAUAUGUGAAGAAACGCGACUUCACAAAACGCGGCUUGAUGGCGCGUUUUGAUGAGUCGCGUUUUCGGAGCAAAAAAAAAAAAAAAUUGCAGAUUCCUUGAUUCUCUUUUUUCUUCUUUUCCUCAUAUAUAUUUUCUUGUACCUUGAGUUGCUUAUUGUGUAUUUUUUUUAGGUACAUCACGAAAACAAAGGAUUGAAGUUACGGAUCAUCAUUUUGUUUAUUAAACCUUUGUUUUCACUUUUGUUUCUUAUUUUUCAUUUUUAGGAUUACAUCACUAAUGGUUAUCCAAUGAAACUCAUGAAGCGUUGGAGAUACACGGACAAUGGAUUUUGAAGCUUCAUAUUCAAUCGCAACAAUAGGGGAGUAUUACUUUCUUUAUCUUGAUUUUCCUUUUUACACAUUGAGGACAAUGUGUAUGUUAAGUGUGGGGGGAGAAUUGAGAUUAUAUACAUUGUAUGUGAUUGAAUUAUUAGUUGCAAAUAUUGGGCUUGUGUUAAAAUUCAAAAUUUUUCUAAAAUCUUGUCCAAAAUUGCAAACUUGCCCCAAAAAGUUUCAUAUUUUUUCAAUUUUAUCCAAGGGGUAACAAGUUCCAUACCAUUAGUAGUUCAAAUUUCUCCUACAUUUGAGAUAAAUAUAUGUGAUUUGGAAACUUCUUUUCUCAUUUAACUUGGAAAUGACUAUUAUGUGAUUAUAAUUUUGCAUUUGUAGGAAAAUAUAUCUUGUGAAGUGGAGAAAAUUAUGCCUAUAUUUUUUUUGCAUAUUUGAUGAAAUUUCUUCUCUUUAUUGGAUUUUAUAAGUUAAGUGAUAAAUAUGGUCAAUAAGUGCAAUACUCUUCUCAUGAUUAUUUUUUUUAGAAACUUAUUAUUCUCUUUGCUAUAAAAAAAAAGAAAAAAAAAUGAUGAAAAAUGAAAAAAAUGAAGAAAAAGAGAAAAACAAAAAACAAAAGAAAAAAGAAAAUAAAUAAAAAUUCUUCUACUCCAAUGAUUCUUGUACUUAGUAACCGGGAGUGUUCAUCUACAAAUGUCGACUUUCGCGUAAAACGGUACUUGAAUUAAGAGUAUGCAAAGCAACUUGAGUAUGUGAAGUGUUGAGUAACCGGUGAUCUUCAUCUAAAAAUGUCGAUCCUCGCGUCAAAAGGCAUUCUCACGUCUUAAGUAAUAUUUAGAUACGUAAUAUUAAUAAAUAUCUUUUUAAACAGAAUUAAAAGAUGAUCAUGAGUUUAGGAAGCAUUAUUAUUGACCAUAUGAGUUGCUUGCUUGUGAAAUCAGGUAAGGAUGAAAAAUUGAUUUGAAUUUGUUAUAAUGAUGGUAUAAUUGGCUCUCCUUUACUUGAUAUUAUGAGUACUUGAACUUAAUUGAAUAAUUGCAUAAUGGUUAUUUACUUUGUUUUGAGGAGAUGAAAUUGAAAUGCUACAUAUGUUUAUUUUCAAAUUUUGGAUCAUUGUUGGUUUGUAUUUUUAUUGCUUGAGGACAAGCAAUGGUUCAAGUGUGGGGGUAUUUGACAAGGGUUUAUUUUACGUAUUUUUAGUGUGUUUUAUUAGUUAAUUUUGGUUUGAUUAUUUAGUUUUAUAACUAAAAUAACUAAGGUUUUGGUAAAAAUCUACAUUUUAUGUUAAAUUGGCUAAAUAUUGCAUUUGUUGGAUUUUUAUGGGAAAAACUUCAUAUUUUGUAGGUUUAAUGAUUCAAUCAUCAAAUGAAGUGCAUUGAGAAGAUAUUUGGAUGAUUGAAGAUGGAUUAAAGUGGGGAAAAUAAAAUAUGAAGUGUAAAAGGAAGAAAUGCAAUUUGAGGACAAAAAAUCAAGAAAAGUCAGCUUUGACAACUCAGACAUAUUUUCGUAUUUUGACUAUAUCAGGAGCUACAAUGAUCGGAUCAAGGUGAUCUUGGUACCAUUUUGAAGCUAAGAGAUAUAUCUGCAUUUGGUAUGAAGACAUCAAAGUCCAAUUCAGCCGUUUUCCUGGUCAAAAGGUCGAAACACAGAAACUUAUCUGGAUGGUCGAAAGCUGAAACCCAGAAUUGACCAGUCUAUGGUAUUUUGACCAUAUCUCCGUCCACCGAUCUCCAAAUUAUAUGAUUCUUGAAGCAUUGGAACUCUAAUUCAAAGGGCUACAACUUUUGUGUUUUACACAAAAGCCAGUUCGGCCUUCAUCAUGGAGAAAAAUGCAGUUGAAGUGAGGUCAAAAGUAAAAACGUGUCUGGCAGCCGAAUUUCUGUAAUUUGCUCAGCCAUUUUUCUCAUCUUCACACUACUUUCCAGCUAGAGUUGGAGAGAAAACGUAGGCUGCACAUGCUUCAGAAGACAUAAGGAAGAGAUAUAGCCAAGGUUCCAAGUCAAAAGCCAUUAUUUUUGACUCCCUUAACAAAUUCAGAUUUGGAGAAUCAUAGCAGAAAUUUUUGACUGGUAAGGGAAGGACUUUUCAUCAGCUUAUAUGCAGGACAUUCAGAAUCAUACGGGAGAAGUUUGGAGUCUGCAAAAAUGUAGCUUUUCCAUUCUCUUAGUAUUAGAUUAGUGUAGUAUAGUUUAGCUAGUUAGUUCAUCCACUCUUGUAUAUUAUCUAGAUUAGGAUGAAAAUGGAGGAUGAAGAAGGCAAGGAAGAAAGCUCAUGUGACAAGGGUUGUAUUCCUUCCAAACUCUUUAUCUUUUGUAUUUGAUUCCAAGUUUAGUUAAUAUACAAGUUCUGGAUUUUGUGUUUAAUAUGUGUAUCUAAAGUUUAAGCCUUGGGUUUGGUUGAACUUUCUAUGAUUGUUAGUGUUUAUUAUUUGGUUAUUUGAUUGCUAUGAUUUGAGCAAGUUAUUUAGCACUUUGACUCUUUAAAUCAUGAUUAAUCUGGUACCAUUAAUUAUGAUUAUCUAAGGUGUUGUUUCUGCAAUGGAAAUUGAGAUUUAACACUAGUUCAAGAAGUGCUAAACAUAGGGAGUACACUCACGAAAGUAGAGGUGCACCUAUGUGGUUUUUAGUGAUUCAUUUCAUGUAAUUUCAUUGAAGAAAUGAACUUGUAGCUAAUUUCAUAACCAUGAGAAUAGGUAUGGAUUAGUUAUAAGUAUAAUUGAUUCACUACGAAAGUAGGAUUCAAAUGCAUAAGGAAAUUACACCAUAACUAGCCUAGAUGUAGUAAUUAAUGAUCCAAAUAUAGCACUUGCAUGAGUAGUUAGGGAUACCACAACCUAAGGAGCAUUUAAUUGUUAUUUUGUAUAAUUUCAGUAGGAUAAAUUUGUUAUAAUUCAUUGAUAGUCUAAAUAAUAGAGAAACUUUAGUAAUACCGGUAAUUGUUCACUCUUCCUUGUGGGAUCGACCCUUAAUACCCUAUACUCGCUCACGAUUCGUAUACUUGCGAUAAAUCGCGUGUGGGGUAUUUAGGAGUUUAUAAAUGUAAAACUUGAUUAGGAUGAGCUUAAUUGUAUAUGUAUACUCCGCGCACGUCAAGUUUUUGGCGCCGUUGCCGGGGAAGAUUUGGCAAUAUCGGUGUGAAGAGCAACUUUAUUAAUUUAGACAAUUUUUCUUAUUUUUGUUAUUUUUGUUGUAUCUUGUGUGUUUUAUGUCAUUUUUUUUUUUAGUCAACUUUUAUUAUUAUUAUUAUUAUUUUUUUCUGUUUUAGUUUGUGUCUUGGAAUCUAUCCUUCUUAACUAAUCUUACUUUUGAGAUUGUUUAAAAGUAAUUUUAGAUAAUGAGGAGGGUAGGUGAACUGGGAGGACAAAGCUUGAGAAAUGAAAGAUUGACAAUGGAUGGUUACCUAGUGCAAAGCUCCUUCAACAGAGGUAACCAAGAAAUUACUGAAGGUAUGUUUUUUGAAGAUGGUAUAAGGUGCUUAAAGGCUAAAUUUGAUGUUAUGAUGCUACAAGUUCAAAUGGACAAAAUUGUGCAGGAAAUUGAACAAAGGAGGAAUGCAAAUGUUUUUAAUUCUUAUCAUGUGAUUUGUGACUUGUGUGGAGAUUAUCAUGCUUCUAAUACAUGUAGACAAGCACAAAAUAUGGAUUAUUAUGAUGAAUUAGAGCAUUACAAUCCUUGUUUUGAUCGAUAUAGUGCUAAUUUGAGCAAUUCUCCUGCUUAUGGUUGGAAUAAUCAAUGUACUUAUAGUAAUUCUUCAUAUUUUUAUGAUUACCAACCUGAAUGUGUCUAAUAUGAAUCAAAACCAUCUUGGGAGUUGGCAAUUGAAAUGGUAGCUAAUGAUUCUAAGCCAUCUUGGGAGUUAGCUUUAGAAAAAUUAGCUAAUGCAACUUCCAACCGUUUUGAUAGGAUUGAGGAAAGAAUAGAUGAAUUAACUUCUCACUUUGGCAGAAUAAAUGAGCAAUUGAAUGCAUUGUGUGAGGUUAUUUCUUCUAAUAAAUUGCAAAAUGAUCCUAGCAUGAAUGGUAAGAAUGUUGUAUGUGAAAAUGGAUUGCAUGUUGAUGAAAAUGAUGAAUCUCAAUUGUGUUUCAAUGAGCAAAUGUCCAUUUCACAAGAUAAUAUCUUUGGAACUAACUUUGAGGCUCAAGAGGUGAGUUUUAAUGACUCAUUUUUCACCCCUCUUGAGGAGUGCAUUGAAAGUGUAGGUUCUAAGGGUAUUGCUGCCCAGGAUACUCUCAUGACAUUUCCGUUGGUAAGUUCUCAAGUGGUGCAUAUUCAAGGUAAUAUUUAUGAAACACUUGGGAUAGGUAAGUCAAUUCCAUUUCUCCUAUCAUUAGAUCAUGUGACUUUUGCUAUAAAGUCACCAUUUAAUGAUCCACCACGACCAAAAAUGGUGGAUUAUUCUUUAACUAAGCCUCCUUGAAAAAUGAGGUGAAAUAGUCAAGCUAUUGACUUUAAAGAAGCGCUUAUUGGGAGGCAACCCAAUGUUUGUUUAAGUUUAUGUUAUUUUGGGGUGAUUUUAUGUUUAAAGUAUAUGUUUGAGUUAUUUUGUUAUUUUUCAUUUGUAGGUAUUGGAAAUGGAAGCAAAAGUGACCAAAUGAGGUGAAAAAAGCGAAAUUUGAUCAAGGAACUCAACCCCUCAAUUUGAGUAAUUGUUGUUUUUGAUUUGUUAGAAGGGGUUAAAAUGCAUAUUUUGAUCAUUUUACAUGUGUGCAUAUUGAUAAAUUUUACAAACAAAUGAUUUAUGAUGCAUUUUGAGUGAUUGGGGUAUCAUUUGUAAUUUUUCAAAGUUGGCUUUCUGCAAAAAUUUCGCAGAAGAAAACGCAUUUGGGCUGAAAACGCGCCUUAGAAUCGCGUUUUCCAUAAUCGCGUUUUCGAUUCUGCGCCUAUACUGAAGAAAACGCGCCUCAAAACGCGACAGGAAGUCGCGUUUUCUACCAAUUCGCGUUUUCCAGCCUGAUCAAAAAUUGAAAACGCGACUUAAAAUACGCGACUCCAAGUCGCGUUUUUAAGCAUAGUCGCGUUUUCGAUCCUGCAAGAUAUGUGAAGAAACGCGACUUCAUAAAACGCGGCUUGGUGGCGCGUUUUGAUGAGUCGCGUUUUCGGAGCAAAAAAAAAAAAUGCAGAUUCCUUGAUUCUCUUUUUCUUCUUUUCCUCAUAUAUAUUUUCUUGUACCUUGAGUUGCUUAUUGUGUAUUUUUUUUAGGUACAUCACGAAAACAAAGGAUUGAAGUUACGGAUCAUCAUUUUGUUUAUUAAACCUUUGUUAUCACUUUUGCUUCUCAUUUUUUUUUUAGAAUUACAUCACUAAUGGUUAUCCAAUGAAACUCAUGAAGCGUUGGAGAUACACGGACAAUGGAUUUUGAAGUUUCAUAUUCAAUCGCAACAAUAGG